rnacentral:lncRNA from 1 species
UCAUAGUUUAUCAUCACAGAAUACAGCUCAUCAUCCUUUUGAUCUGUCGUAAGGAUUGCUGAUCCUGCAUAUUUCGUUUUCCUGAUUUAAUUAAUUCAAGUAGUAGUAGUGGCCGGCCACAUAUUUCAUUUGAAUAUAAUACGGUAGUUCAUUAGUCUUUUCCUUUAUAAAUCUGGUUUAAUAUAAUUCAAACUAAAUGCUUAUAUAAAUAUAUAUAAUGACAGAUGAUUUUUUUAUUUUUUUUUGGAGGAAAACAGGGAGUGCAAAGGCUGGUUUUCUUCACAUUCAGAUUAUUAAAAUAGUGUGAGAGAGCCGUCAAGGAAUCGGAGAAGGCAGAAAGUGUUAGGAAUCGGAGGAGGCACUUUCUGCCUUCAGAAAAUAUAUGAUAAAUCCAAUCGCAGGCGGUUCAGAAAUUAAAUAGUAUAAAUAGAUAGAUAUUUCAACAAUUUUGUGAUCAUAGUUAAUAAUCAGUCAUAAGCACAUACAAAGCCAAUAAUCCUAAUAUAACUUUUUCAGUGUACUAGUUUUGCAAAUGGAAAAUAAACUAUCCAUGUGUUAGUGAAUGGAAAGGAACCUUCAGGUUCUGUUUAAGAUGGAUUGUAUAAAAAGGAUCAAAUAGCACAGUUUACUAUAUCCAUGAAUAUAUAUGACAAAACUUAAAUCAAUGAUGUUGAUUUAUCACCAGAAACAUGAAUUGAAUGUUCUCAAUUCUGCUUCAGCAAGCUUUUAAAUAUAUCAUGGAUAGUGAAUUAUUUCAUCGCAUGUUCCAGAGAACUCAAAAGAAAUUUGGUUGGUUUCUAAGAUUAUGCAGAAGUUUUCUUCUUAUCAUCAAGCUAUCCUUUAUGUAUUCAGUUAAACUUACUUGACAGGCCAUAGUGUCUUUUAAGGGCUAAUAUAUAGUGGGCCGGCUAUGACACCUUAAGUUAUCUGCACAAGCUUCGAUAUUUUGGGACGUCUAUGACACUAAUCUAUGGUUGACUCUUGGAGAAGGGGUCUUAAUCCCUUAGUUUUCGUAUGUAGCCUCUUAAGUCUUAGGAGAAGGGGUCUUAAUCCCUUAGUUUUCGUAUGUGUGCACUCUUUCCGGUUGAUGGAUAAUCUUAACUACACUGUUCAACUUCAUUCAAUACUCACUCGGAUAGACUAAUACAGCUACAUUAUGCAGCAAGUAAAGCUAUAUCAUAAAGAAUUUCAAGGUUAUGGUGCGCGUGUUGAUUCAAACCCUUUCUAUAUACCUUUUCAACUUGCGAGGUCCACAAAAAGCACAUGGGAUCCCUUUAAAACUGUAAUUCCAUGCAGAUUAUAAAGUCUUCAUAGCGGAAUUCAACCAAGUUUAACUUAUUCCCCCAUCCAGCUAAUAAUUGACUUGGUGUGAGGGGUCCAAAUUCAGUAAAUCUUCAGUUCUCUUUAAACUGGAUCCCUAUACUUAUAUGUACUUGUGGAGACCAACACUGGUUGUUAGACUAGAUUUUAACACAUUAUAUUUCUUUUAGGGAAUACUUUUCAGAUCUUGCAUUGGGAGGGUCAUUAUGUCAACAAUCAACUCUUGAUCGCCCUUCUAUGCCAAGUACAAUUGUGUUGAAUUAAAAAAAUAAAAAAUAAAAAAAUGGUUUAAACUACUAUCUGUUAUGGACUUAUGGUUAAUCAAAUGUGAAUGAAUGGUAAUACUAGA